UCUUGCUGGAGAUGCCUGUAUAGCUGAGGCCUCCCGAAGACCCUUGCACAGUGAACAUCUGUAUACUGAAUCUGCCUGAUGAAAACUAAGACUCCACUCUCAACUGGUCAGACCGUACUUUUGCUGUACAUCCACUUGCCAUGGCAGUGUUACUCUCAGUUUCCACCAGACUGGAACAGGGAGGCAGGGUGGAAGCUUGAAGUGUUCUAGGUGGCACAGCAGUUGAAAACCAAAGGAAUGGAAUCACUGGGCUAUCUUCCCUGUGUUAUGCUUCUCUAGGGAUAGAAAAGGGCACAUAUGAGUCAGUCCUUUCUCAGUCCUCUUCAGGUUUGCAGUUGCUUUAUUUCCAAGGAGUACAAAUAACUCUCAGAAUGCUGUUGAAUCCAUCACAAAUCUGUAAACGUCAGUAUAAUCCAGUAUAAUGGGCAGAUGCCACAAUGAUAUUGUUACAAGAAGAAAAGAGGACCUGCCUCGGGACUGUGGGAUGUGGCCUAUGUCUUUUCUUAACAUCAAUUAGCAAACCUGUCUAUAUGCUAUUUUGAUGUAGACUCUUGAUCUAGUCAGUUGCUUUCCUCGCUGUCUCCUAUGCCUGUGAUUUCUAGAGCCCUAUGUCUAUCCUCCUCAGCUGUUAUCUACUUUGUUGAACUGCCAUUUCUGCUUCUCUUAUGUUUUAAGUUUUAGCCUCCAAAGAAGGCUUUAAACUGGUUUCCAUAGCAAUUAUUCCGUGGCUAAAAGAAAAAGGUCUUAGAAGAUCUUGCUACAGGCUUCGUUUAAAAAUAAUUAGAAAGCCCCACCCCAAUAAAAACCUUUGCUUGAGAAUAUAUCACAAAAACAAGCAAACAAAGCCCAAAAGAUGAGUUUUUCAAGACAGAAGUGCCAAUAAGAAGUGCGGGCUCUCUAAUUAACUUUACAGCUUCUAGACUAUAAUAGUGCCAUGUGACACAGGAGUAUAGAUGACACUGAUCAGUAAGCUGAUGAUCAUAGUGGCCAGCUGAAGUGUAUUUGCACCAAUGUGUUACAAUGCAUGUCACAGAGGAAAGUACAAUAAAUUCCCUAUUUCUUAAAUGUCUGAGAAAACAAUUUAAACAGAAGGAGUUAGAAAGAUAGCCCCUCGGUAAAAUCAGCUGCUCUGAUAUUUAUUUAUUAAUCAAAUAUAUCUUUUAAUGUAGCUGUGCAUUAAACAUAGAUGAACAAAGGUUGAAGUUGAACACAGUAGAUAAAUCCUUCAGGCUACUAUUUAACUGGCCAGAAUAGAAUCAAUAGCAACGCUGCAAAAAGCCCAGUGACUUAUUUUCAAGCAGUGACCUAACCAGUUGCAAUGCAGAAAUGGAAGAAUUGGUCUAAAAUAACUGGAAAUUGGUUUAUCUCAGCCAAUAAUGUUUCCAGUGUCUUGGAAGA